GACGAACGCUGGCGGUGUGCUUAACACAUGCAAGUCGUGCGACGAACCAGACUUCGGUCUGGGGCAAAGCGGCGAACGGGUGAGUAACACGUGGGUAAUCUGCCCCGAUGACUGGGACAACCCGAGGAAACUCGGGCUAAUACCGGAUGUGGUGCCUGGACUCAAGUCCGGUCACUAAAGGUAGCUUCGGCUUCCGCAUUGGGAGGGGCCCGCGGCCCAUUAGCUUGUUGGUGGGGUCAAGGCCUACCAAGGCAACGAUGGGUAGCUGGUCUGAGAGGACGAUCAGCCACACUGGGACUGAGACACGGCCCAGACUCCUACGGGAGGCAGCAGUGGGGAAUCUUGCGCAAUGCGCGAAAGCGUGACGCAGCAACACCGCGUGAGGGAAGACGGCCUUAGGGUUGUAAACCUCUUUCAGAUGGGACGAAGGUGAUGCGGUGAAUAGCCGAUGUCAUUGACGGUACCGUCAGAAGAAGCUCCGGCUAACUACGUGCCAGCAGCCG
rnacentral:rRNA from 1 species